UUGGUUUAAAUUAAUGUGGGUCUCACACUUUGGAAAUGGGUUCCACUUAAAGUGGUGGGACAUACAUUAAUUUCAUCCAA
rfam:Medicago truncatula strain A17 chromosome 8, whole genome shotgun sequence.